UGAACCUUAGAUGAUACAAGCCAAGGUGCAGUCUCCAUUCUACUCUGUAGCACACAACUCGGUCACUUAUUCUAUCUGGCAGACAUCACACUAUGGACACUUAGUUACAGUUAAAAUAAAUUUACACAUUGAUCAAAGUUGGUGUUCGCCAGAAGGAAGCUGUCGGUGUACUUAACACACAGGAAAGUGGAUGAAAGAUACCAACUUACAAAGAGCCCAGGUUGCUGGGGAAAAUGGUACAAAACCAAAAUAAUCAAAUUUUAUAGGAAUAGCAAUUAAGACCUAAAUUAAUGGUAUAACUGUCUACAUAAUCAAAUAAAAGGAGCUAGAAAGACCUGGCUUCUUGGCAGUGUAAAUGGAAGAGACCUGAGGGUUUCAGCUGAGUCUAAUCUCAAGAUAAGCUAACACUAUCUGAGCAGAACAUGUGAGCACUAAUAAACUGAUAAAAUAUCCAGAUCCUGAUAGGUAAUAAAGACUUUGCAGUAUGGACAGUCUAAAUAUUAUUUGAAGAAUUGUGUCUAAAUCUGUUGUCAACCAAUAAGGAUGACACUGAUUAGAUAUCAUCGAGGGGUGGGCUCUAAAAGUGAUGAAAGAUGUGUAAACCACGUGACACGAGGAACCAUUAACAGAAUCCAGAAUCAGGGAUGUUUGAUUUAGGGAAGGAAAGGCUUAAGAAAGCCCAAUUGCUUCAUCUCAUAUUUAAAGAGCAAGCACGUGAAAGAAAGCCUUCAUUGUAACUCUAGUGGACAGAAGUAGGAACCAGGGAAGAAAAUUACAAGGAGGUGGGAUUUAAUCUAAAGGAUAGCUUUCUAUCAGAAUUUUCCAACAAUAUAAUAAUGCACCUAACAACAAAGUAGGCUACCCUCCCUGGAAAUAUUCUCAAACAGGCUAAGUAUUCUGGCUAUUUCGGCAAGUGCUUCUGCAUUGGAUGGAUGAACAGCAGAUGACAACCCAGUCCCUUUCAAUACUAAGAUGCGGUGUUUCUUGUGCAGAUCCUACCACUCACUGUCUGGGUAACUUGAGCAAGUUACUAAAAGACAAGGAUAUUUGGAAAUAUCCCUACAUGGCAAGGGGACAGCUUCAGAACAUCUCAGAAUCUCACUUCAGAGACAAAACAGAGGGCAAGACUAACCAGUUGGACUAAAGGAGAAUC
rnacentral:lncRNA from 1 species